CUACGGGUGGCUGCAGUGAGGAAUAUUGCGCAAUGGGGGAAACCCUGACGCAGCGACGCCGCGUGGAUGAUGAAGGCCUUAGGGUCGUAAAAUCCUGUCAGGUGGGAAGAAGUGGAUAUAGAUUAAUACUCUAUUUCUUUGACGGUACCACCAAAGGAAGCACCAGCUAACUCCGUGCCAGCAGCCGCGGUAAUACGGAGGGUGCAAACGUUGUUCGGAAUUACUGGGCGUAAAGCGCGCGUAGGCGGUUUGUUAAGUCAGAUGUGAAAGUCCAUGGCUCAACUAUGGAAGUACAUUUGAAACUGGCAGACUUGAGUACUGGAGGGGGUGAUGGAAUUCCCGGUGUAGAGGUGAAAUUCGUAGAUAUCGGGGGGAAUACCGGUGGCGAAGGCGAUCACCUGGCCAGAUGCUGACGCUGAGGUGCGAAAGCGUGGGGGGCAAACAGGAUUAGAUACCCCAGUAGUC
rnacentral:rRNA from 1 species